GACGAACGCUGGCGGCGUGCUUAACACAUGCAAGUCGAACGGAAAGGCCCUGCUUUUGUGGGGUGCUCGAGUGGCGAACGGGUGAGUAACUCGUGAGUAACCUGCCCUUGACUUUGGGAUAACUUCAGGAAACUGGGGCUAAUACCGGAUAGGAGCUCCUGCUGCAUGGUGGGGGUUGGAAAGUUUCGGCGGUUGGGGAUGGACUCGCGGCUUAUCAGCUUGUUGGUGGGGUAGUGGCUUACCAAGGCUUUGACGGGUAGCCGGCCUGAGAGGGUGGCCGGCCACAUUGGGUCUGAGAUACGGCCCAGACUCCUACGGGAGGCAGCAGUGGGGAAUAUUGCACAAUGGGCGGAAGCCUGAUGCAGCAACGCCGCGUGCGGGAUGACGGCCUUCGGGUUGUAAACCGCUUUCGCCUGUGACGAAGCGUGAGUGACGGUAAUGGGUAAAGAAGCACCGGCUAACUACGUGCCAGCAGCCGCCGUAA
rnacentral:rRNA from 1 species